UUUCAAACUCACCGCGAAUCCAGGGAACAUUGACCCCCUCCAGACAUAUUCCAGACCCCAACAGGCAACUAUCAACUUUGGCCCAAGUACACUGCUCAGAAUCAAGCCCCCCCAAAAACUACUGUUGGGCCGGGAACUUGCUGCUUCACGAGCCGGCGCUCCAGGGACAAGACUGCCCGGAGACAGGCCCAGCAGAAUCUGGAACGCUAGAGGGAAAAAGUCACACACCCCCGGUUUCGGCGAUUCGUCACAACAAGCGCCAAAAAAGCAGAGACUCCGCCCCGGCGAAAAACGGCACAGACGACCACAUACAUCUAGAUCUGGGGGAUUCCGGCGAAACACCCGAGAGACCUGUUUUUAAUGGCAUGUCAGAUGUUGAUGACCAGCUAUUCUGUGAUGCGGCCAACCUUAUAGACCCAGUCAAUUCUACGGCCUCAGUACCGGCAGCCGAACAAGAAAGGUUUUUCACAUUAUUUUCCAGGGCUUUGAAAUCGAGGAAUGUUUUGCUAUACAAACGACUGGGGGAUUUAAUUGAGAGACAGUACAGAGACGAUAUGUUAUUCUGGCAUAGAACA